AUGAAGGAUCGGAUGAUGAAGGAUCAGAUGAUGACGGAUCAGAUGAUGAAGGAUCAGAUGAUGAAGGGAAGGGUGAUGGUGAUUGAGGGCGCUUUGUUCUUACAAGAGGCAUCACUUUCAGUCAGCAGUGAUAUAUAAGCUUUACCAUACGGCUGGGAGAAUGCUAACACAGCUGAUAGAAGACAAUAGUACCUAAAUCAUGUCACUCAGUGUACAACAUGGAGGCACCCCCUUUCAGAUGCUAACCAUCUUCCAAGCAUAAAUGAGAGAUACUGGUAGUCUACCUGAGACAAGGACAUGGAUGGUACCAAUCUUGAAUCGUCAUCUACAUGGAAUGUCUGGUGUGAUCAUUUGUUGGUAUCUACAUAGAUGUGA